rnacentral:tRNA from 2 species
GGAGAGAUGGCUGAGUGGUCGAAGGCGCGCGCCUGGAAAGUGCGUGUACGGGUAACCGUACCGAGGGUUCGAAUCCCUCUCUCUCCGCCA